rnacentral:rRNA from 1 species
UACGAAGGGGGGCUAGCGUUGCUCGGAAUCACUGGGCGUAAAGGGUGCGUAGGCGGGUCUUUAAGUCAGGGGUGAAAUCCUGGAGCUCAACUCCAGAACUGCCUUUGAUACUGAGGAUCUUGAGUUCGGGAGAGGUGAGUGGAACUGCGAGUGUAGAGGUGAAAUUCGUAGAUAUUCGCAAGAACACCAGUGGCGAAGGCGGCUCACUGGCCCGAUACUGACGCUGAGGUGCGAAAGCGUGGGGGAGCAAACAGG